UACGUAGGUGGCAAGCGUUGUCCGGAUUUACUGGGCGUAAAGAGCGCGCAGGCGGUCGUUCAAGUCGCGUGUGAAAGCCCCCGGCUCAACUGGGGAGGGUCACGCGAUACUGAUCGACUCGAAGGCAGGAGAGGGAAGUGGAAUUCCCGGUGUAGUGGUGAAAUGCGCAGAUAUCGGGAAGAACACCCGUGGCGAAGGCGGCUCUCUAGAACGGUACUGACGCUGAGACGCGAAAGCGUGGGGAGCGAACAGG
rnacentral:rRNA from 1 species